GGGGGGGGGUGGGGGGGGGCGGGGGGGGGGCGGGGCGGGCGGGGGGGCCCCUUUGGGGGUGCUCGAGUGGCGCACGGGUGAGUAGCACGUGAGGAACCUGCCCUUGGCUUCGGGAUAACUUCCGGAAACUGGGGCGGAUACCGGAUCGGACUCCUUGCUGCCUGGUGGGGGUUGGAACGCUCCGGCGGUUGUGGAUUGACUCGCGGCUUAUCAGCUUGUUGGUGGGGUAGUGGCUUACCAAGGCCUUGACGGGUAGCCGGCCUGAGAGGGCGACCUGCCACAUUGGGACUGAGAGACGGCCCAGACGCCUACGGGAGGCAGCAGGGGGGAAUAGUGCACAAUGGGCGGAAGCCUGAUGCAGCAACGCCGCGGGCGGGAUGACGGCCUUCGGGUUGUAAACCGCUUUCAGCAGGGGCGAAGCUUGUGGUGACGGUACCUGCAGAAGAAGCACCGGCUAACUACGUG
rnacentral:rRNA from 1 species